AAGUUUUUAAUUCAGGCUUCUUUCAAACUCUAACCAAUGAAAUUACUAACAAAAAAACCCACUUAUUAAGAACAAGUAGAAUUAUCCGAAUAUCAAAAAGACCUUAAGACAUAGUACCGAAAGGGAACAAUGAAAUAAAAUUAAAUAAUAAACUUAAAAUAGGAAAGAUUAAACCUUUUACCUUGUGUAUAAUGGAUUUACAAGAAAAUAGACAAAAAAAUCUAAGCCCGAAACCAGACGAGCUAACCUCCCCUUCUCUUUCAGGAGAACUAAACUACUGUUGCAAUAGUAGACACAAAGGGAAGGUUAGAUGUUAUAUGCUAAUCGCGCCUGGAGAUAGCUGGUUACCUAAGAAAUUAGCCUUAGCUAAGCCUCCCCUAUUCAAACCUAAACAACAGUUAAUAUAAAUUAAUAACCCCUUAGAAGUUUGUUAGGAAGAGGUUAGAUGGAAAAGGAUAAGCUUUUCCAUCAAACCGGAAAAACCCAAAAACACAUCAGUUAAAGCCAAUAAAAACUACAAAUAGCAAUCAAAAUUUGGGUAGGCCUAGAAGCAGCCAACCCAUAAGAAAGCGUCAAAGCUCAAUAUAAACACAAAAGCUAAAAAAUCUAUGAAACAUAACCUGAAACUAUACUAUCUUAUUAGGUUAUUCCCACCUAAGGGAAAAAAUUAUGUUAAUAUGAGUAAAGAAAGGCUCACUCGAGUUAUAAACAAACUUAACUAUGGAAGAAAAAUAAUAAAACUAAAAACAACAUUUUUAAACCUGUCCUCCAACUCAGGAGAGCCCUAUAACUAAUUAAAAGGUAAGAAGGAACUCGGCAAAAAUAAGUUUCGCCUGUUUACCAAAAACAUCGCUCUCUGAUACAAACCCAUAUAGAGAGUCCUGCCUGCCCAGUGACCAAAAGUUAAACGGCCGCGGUAUCUUGACCGUGCGAAGGUAGCAUAAUCAUUUGUCUCUUAAAUAGAGACUAGUAUGAAUGGCAAGACGGAACUCUACUGUCUCCUUACCCCAUCCUUGAAUUUCACUUCCCCGUGAAGAGGCGGGGAUCACUUCGUUAGACGAGAAGACCCUGUCGAGCUUGUAACAAAGUACAAGAUUCUAAACCUCUAAUUUAAGCUUCUAACUAUCAAAAACUUAAAGCUAAAUUAGAAAAAGAAAUCUUUACUAGUUUUGGUUGGGGCAACCGCGGAGAAAGCAAAACCUCCGUUACCAUAAUUUAAACAAAGAGAAAUACCUCUAAUACAACUCAAGACAAUAAAUGAUCCACCUAGGUGAUCAAAAGAAAAAGUUACCGCAGGGAUAACAGCGUUAUCUUCUUUGAGAGUCCAUAUUGACAAGAAGGUUUGCGACCUCGAUGUUGGAUCGGGACAUCCCAGAGGUGCAGAAGCUUCUAAAGGUUGGUCUGUUCGACCAUUAAAGUCCUACGUGAUCUGAGUUCAGACCGGCGAAAGCCAGGUCAGUUUCUAUCUACGAAUAUACUUUUUCUUUCUUAGUACGAAAGGACCAGAAAGAAGGUGUCAAUAUUUCUAAUAAACACCAAACUAAACUCCUAAAUUAAAAAC
rnacentral:rRNA from 1 species